CACCCAGAUGCUUUGUCCAUCCAUUAGUGAGUGAUAGGAAAGGGAAUUUAGAAAAUGAAGGAUGUGCCUCCUGCAGCUGAGAAGGGAAGUGGGAUGGGAACCACUACAACUGCCUUGUGCCAUCUGAGGAUGCCCCUAGGCAGGGGCAGUGUUCAAGUGGCUGUUUAAAAUGGGUGCAGGGCCAGAGUAUAUCUGCCCAACAUGGAUGUGCAAGAUCCUUCCAACGGUGAUUUCAAACUGUCAGGGCCAGAACACAGCAGCUUCUUCUCUGGAAACCAAACAACCCAGCCUCCCACUUUCUAUGGCAACAACACUGAGCCCUUCACAAUCUGACCUGCUGAGGAAAACCUGCUAUUAAUUAAAUGUUAAUUACUUUAAUGCAGCCUGCAUUAUGUGGAAACACUCAAGUUAUUUUAAUCUAAAUGUAAAGGAAAACAUCUGAGGUUUAAAAUAGCAAGUAAAGGCAGUUUAUAAUCCAUAUAUGUAUGUAAUUCUUUUUCUCAGUGUAGGAUGAGAACCUAUAGUUUGAAAUAAUAACUAUGUUCUAUUUUUGCAGGCAGUUAGGCAGAGAUCCUGGCUGAUAUAAUUUGAUUUGAUUUCUGUGUAACUUACAAAUAUAAUC